AUACGGAGGAUGCGAGCGUUAUCCGGAUUUAUUGGGUUUAAAGGGUGCGUAGGCUGUGCGUUAAGUCAGGGGUGAAAUGCCGUCGCUCAACGACGGAGCUGCCCUUGAUACUGGCGUGCUGGAGUACGGAUGCCGUUGGAGGAAUGAGUGGUGUAGCGGUGAAAUGCUUAGAUAUCGCUCAGAACACCGAUUGCGAAGGCAUCUGACGAAUCCGUCACUGACGCUGAGGCACGAAAGCGUGGGGAUAGAACAGGAUUAGAUACCCUGGUAUUCCACGCCGUAAACGAUGAUGACUAACCGUCGGCGAUAGACAGCCGGUGGCCAAGCGAAAGCGAUAAGUCAUCCACCUGGGGAGUACGUCGGCAACGAUGAAACUCAAAGGAAUUGACGGGG
rnacentral:rRNA from 1 species